rfam:Triticum aestivum genome assembly, contig: Triticum_aestivum_CS42_TGACv1_scaffold_212032_3AS
GAGGUACUCCCUUCGUUCUAAAUUACUUAUCUUGGAUUUGUCUAAAUACAGAUGUAUCUAGACUCAUUUUAGUGCUAGAUACAUUCGUAUUUAGACAAAUUUAAGACAAAUAAUUUGGAACUGAGGGAGUAAUAA